CAAGCUUUAGUGCUAAAAUCCCACCCUUGGAGCCAGUGACUCAGCCUCUCUGGUCAGUGCUCCCUAGUCUGGGGGGAGCUGGCUGUGUAGCAGUCUGCUUAGUGAUUGGCAACAUUGUGUGCGAGGGUAGGUUUGACAGGCGACAGGCACAACAGGGCUGAAAUGAACUGUUAGGUCAGCUGCAGCCUGUGUUGUGACUCUGGUCAUGUCUUGGCCAAUCAGUUGUCAGCACAGCAUCUAUGAACAUUGUCUCAGGACAUGAGAUCACUCAGCAGAUGCUGGGUGAGAAAAGUUGGAGGAGCAGAGAACUUGGUGACUGCUUAGUCCAGAAGCCGAGGCACCUGCAGGCCCGUUGGAGAGUCCGUGGUGUCUGCACGGGCCAGAGUUGACUUUAUGCCUACUCCAUGUGACCUCAGAGCCUCCAAGACUUGGCUUCUUCAUCUGGAACAUGGUGGUGGUGACCACAAGGGUCUCUUAUGCCCAUCAAAGUCUCAUGAGACAUCCGAGGGAGAUCGAUUAAACACAGAGGAGCCCCAGUCAGAGCUUCGAUGAUACCACUUCAGUCAUUCCAGGGAGGAGACUCUGCUAACUCUUGGCAGAGAAGAAAACAGCAGGGCACACUAGUGCAGAAGGAACUAAGACAGGUCCAUGGGUAGACAGGGUCUGUCUCUCAACAGAGCCAGGAAUGUUACCCCUGCAGCCCUGGACCUUACAAAUGCCCUCUUCUCCCUCUCCUAUCACAGAUCACUCAGAGGCUGAGUCCCCAGGACACAUGCAGCCUACACACAGACUAACACUAGAAGAGUCAUUGUGCAUGAAGCAGAGUCUGUAGGAGAGACCUAACCACUCAGCAGGAAAAACACCAAAUUUAAAACAGGCAAAUAAAACAAUCUAGAUUUGAUAACAUGUCAGAUGGACACCCGAUUCCUGAGGUCUUAAAGCUAGUUUCUAAGGUGUAGCCACCUGAUAAAUGUUCCUUCCUUGUCUCUCUUGUAAGUGACUGUAGUUGUCCCAAGCCAUCUCCCAAUUCACAUUACACACAGGGCACAGGCAUACCCUGGAAGCCCCACAUGGUCCUCUGAUUAUUCCAGUGUCAUGAAUGAGCUGUGACAGAAACACAGAUGGGCAUACACCUUUCCAUGGUGUCCAAGUUAGAUUGAAUACCAGUAAAUUCAGAAGUUGUGUCAAUUUGUUGUCUGCAGUUCACCAAGCCUCCCAACUACACUUGCCAGACCUGGCCUUGCCAGCCUCAGUAACUAUACUAACUCUUAGCUCACCCACUGGCAUCUACAUGCGUUACCCAAUGGCUGCAAGGGGCUUAGCAAGGUCACAGAGUUCAGGACACUGCCCUGCAGACAGAGGCAGGGAGCUGAAACAGAACAAAAUGUCUUCAGGUAUCCCCUGUGAGGCCCUAGCAUGGGCUCAGUGCUCUCAGACUCAUAGUUGUCAACUGCAGACAUAGGCAAGCCAUCCCAAGUGUCAUUUUGAGGUAGGCUGCAUGUCACCAGCAUGAAAAACUAUACCUGGUCCAGAGCCUGGGGACAGGUGUGAGGUCCUCUCCUGAGACAAUUUUCCUGGACUAAGAGUAGCCAAAUGAUGGGUUGAUGUCCUACUAUGUCCCAGGAUUGGGGUGUUCCAAGUGUUGAGGGCUUAUUUACAUCUAAUGCGACCGAGCUCAGAGGCCUGGUGUUUCUGAUAUGGUUUCAGUAUGCCCAUGUGUUUGUGUAUUCCUGUUGACUUGGUAAGCUCACAGGUGGUAAAAAUUUAUCUAUGUAAAUAAAUCAUGUGUCAUUCGGUACUUCGUGGUUUGUACUGAACAGAUGGUAGCUGUUGUUUUUAAUUUUUUAUAUUAUGUUUUUAUUUAUUGAUUCAGUGGGGGGGGGGCAUGCGUGUAGCAAUCAGAGGAUAAUUUAAGGGAUCCCCAGAGUCAGUUCUCUCCCUCAGCACUGAGUCCUGGGGACAAAACUCAGGUCAUC
rnacentral:lncRNA from 1 species